AGAGUAACUGUCGUUAGUUGUUGAGGGGCAUUUCAGUCAAAAACAAAGAUAACCAAACCCCCCCCACCCCAAAAAAAACCAAGAAUAAAAUAACCAAAAAAAAAGUAAAAGAAGAUACCCAGAUUAUCCAAACCCCACCGCCACUAUCAUCCUCCCCGACCCCAGCAAGGAAUUGGCCUCAGAAUUAAUGGUAAACAGUUAUAGAUAUGGUUUCUCUGGGUUUGCAGCCAAGCUCACAGAGUUUCAAGCCAAAAAAUUUCAGUUCUUGCUGAGAGUGUUCCAGUAUUUCUUCAAUGGCGUUCAUGUAGUGGCUGCAAAUUCCGGGAAUUUUUUGAACCUUGG